ACCCGCUGAACUUAAGCAUAUCAAUAAGCGGAGGAAAAGAAACCAACAGGGAUUGCCCUAGUAACGGCGAGUGAAGCGGCAACAGCUCAAAUUUGAAAUCUGGCGUCUUUGGCGUCCGAGUUGUAAUUUGCAGAGGGCGCUUUGGCAUUGGCAGCGGUCCAAGUUCCUUGGAACAGGACGUCACAGAGGGUGAGAAUCCCGUACGUGGUCGCUAGCCUUUACCGUGUAAAGCCCCUUCGACGAGUCGAGUUGUUUGGGAAUGCAGCUCUAAAUGGGAGGUAAAUUUCUUCUAAAGCUAAAUACUGGCCAGAGACCGAUAGCGCACAAGUAGAGUGAUCGAAAGAUGAAAAGCACUUUGGAAAGAGAGUUAAAAAGCACGUGAAAUUGUUGAAAGGGAAGCGCUUGCAGCCAGACUUGCCUGUAGUUGCUCAUCCAGGUUUCUACCUGGUGCACUCUUCUAUAGGCAGGCCAGCAUCAGUUUGGGCGGUUGGAUAAAGGUCUCUGUCAUGUACCUCUCUUCGGGGAGAACUUAUAGGGGAGACGACAUGCAACCAGCCUGGACUGAGGUCCGCGCAUCUGCUAGGAUGCUGGCGUAAUGGCUGUAAGCGGCCCGUCUUGAAACACGGACCAAGGAGUCUAACAUCUAUGCGAGUGUUUGGGUGUCAAGCCCGAGCGCGUAAUGAAAGUGAACGGAGGUGGGAACCUUUCGGGGUGCACCAUCGACCGAUCCUGAUGUCUUCGGAUGGAUUUGAGUAAGAGCAUAGCUGUUGGGACCCGAAAGAUGGUGAACUAUGCUUGAAUAGGGUGAAGCCAGAGGAAACUCUGGUGGAGGCUCGCAGCGGUUCUGACGUGCAAAUCGAUCGUCAAGUUUGGGCAUAGGGGCGAAAGACUAAUCGAACUAUCUAGUAGCUGGUUCCUGCCGAA
rnacentral:rRNA from 1 species